rnacentral:rRNA from 1 species
AUUGAGCGCUGGCGGCAGGUCUAACACAUGCAAGUCGAACGGUAACAGGAAGAAGCUUGCUUCUUUGCUGACGAGUGGCGGACGGGUGAGUAAUGUCUGGGAAACUGCCUGAUGGAGGGGGAUAACUACUGGAAACGGUAGCUAAUACCGCAUAACGUCGCAAGACCAAAAAGGGGGACCUUCGGGCCUCUUGCCAUCGGAUGUGCCCAGAUGGGAUUAGCUAGUAGGUGGGGUAACGGCUCACCUAGGCGACGAUCCCUAGCUGGUCUGAGAGGAUGACCAGCCACACUGGAACUGAGACACGGUCCAGACUCCUACGGGAGGCAGCAGUGGGGAAUAUUGCACAAUGGGCGCAAGCCUGAUGCAGCCAUGCCGCGUGUAUGAAGAAGGCCUUCGGGUUGUAAAGUACUUUCAGCGGGGAGGAAGGGAGUAAAGUUAAUACCUUUGCUCAUUGACGUUACCCGCAGAAGAAGCACCGGCUAACUCCGUG